CACAGAUACAUAUGACAAGGCUAUUUUGUUUUUCAUAGCUAACACAAUGUGGUCUCAAGGUGGCUGCCACGGCUCCAGUCAUCAGACCAGGGAAAGUCUUCUCAAGCAAGAAGUCCAAGGGAAAUGGGGAAAAUCUGUCUACAGGAAAGAGAAAUUCAGGGUUCCAUUGGAAGGAAAGAAGCCACAGAACUUGCUGCAUUGGCAGGAGCCACUGCCUGUGGCUCAUUGUGUAUUGGGGAUUUUUAAAUCAAAGAGGGGAAACCCCACGGUGAUUUAG
rnacentral:lncRNA from 1 species